UUCCGGCUUUGAUCACAUUCAGAUUCUCAGUCAACAAACACCUCACAAUCUCCGCUACUGGCCAAUGGCGACUAUCUAUCAAUAGCAUAGCGCGGCAGUCGCUGUCGCUUCUCUUCCUAAUCUCAUUGACUCUUUGGAUAAACCCUCCUAAAACCCUCGAAUAUGAACACGUUUAUUGUUGUGCUAAUUACCAGAACAUGAAGCGAGUACUCAAAAUCUCAGACGCAGCCCAGGCGGAGCUGCUCUGCUUCCAUAGAUCCUCUGUAAAACCCCAAACCCUAACCCCUUCUAUUUUCAAUUCCACCAAGUCCCCAAUUUACAGACUUUCCCGCGCGCAAACUCACACUUCACAGCCUACCAACUCUUUCGGUAACAUCAUCGAGCUUUUCUCUAACAAAUUCGUCCAUGCUGAACCUGAAGAAUGGGAGGGUUUGAAAGAAACGAUCUCGAAUUUACGGGACGAAUUGGUUCAACAUGUUGGGGAUUUUGAUAAGGUUGUUGAGGUUUUGGAGGGGAAUGUUAGUUCCUUGUUGAGGAGGUAUCGCAAUGGAUCUGCUUUCGUUGAGCUCCUGCAGCAGUUGGUUUCGUGGCCUAACUUAGCCGUACAGGUUUUUAAUUGGAGAAGAACACAAUUACCGUGGAUCACUCUUAUGACAUCAGAGGAGUAUGUCAAGGGUAUAACAAUUGCUGGCAGAGCUAAGAAUGUCGAUCUUGCAGUAGAGCUCUUUGCUGAGGCUAGUGGCAAGAAUCUUAAGACAACAAGUAUGUAUAAUGCAUUGAUGAGUGCUUACAUGUACAAUGGUCAAGGUGAUAAAUGUCGAUCAGUGUUUCUGAAGUGGAAAAAGGAGCCAAAUUUUGAUCCUUCAGUUGCAACAUAUAACAUUCUUAUAUCAGUCUUUGGUCGCUCACUGCUAGUUGAUCACAUGGAGGCUACAUUUGAGGAGCUAAAGUAUUUAAAUAUCUCGCCAAAUGUAUGCACAUACAAUAAUUUAAUUGCUGGCUAUCUCACUGGUUGGAAGUGGGACAGCAUGGAAAAAAUUUUUAAAAUGAUGAAGGAAAGUCCAGUUAAGCCUGAUCGUAACACCUACUUGUUAAUGCUUCGAGGCUAUGCACACUCUGGGAAUGUAGAGAAAAUGGAAGAGAUAUAUGGAUUGGUAAAAGACGAUGUAAAUGUUAAAGAAUUGCCAUUAAUUAGGACAAUGAUAUGUGCAUAUUGUAAGAGUUCAAUUACUAAUAGAGUUGAAAAGAUUGAGUCUCUAUUGAGGAUUAUUCCGGAGCAGCAAUAUAGGCCUUGGUUGAAUGUCUUGUUGAUUAGAGUUUAUGCACAAGAAGACAUGUUAGAGGGAAUGGAGGAAUGUAUAAACAACGCAUUUAAGCACAGCACUGCAGUAAAAACAGUCAGGGUGAUGCGGGCCGUUAUUUCUACCUAUUUCAGAUACAAUGCAGUUGACAAGCUUGCAGACUUUGUGAGACGUGCUGAAUAUGCAGGAUGGAGAAUUUGCCGCUCACUAUACCAUUGUGAAAUGGUCAUGUAUGGAUCACAGAAGCGCUUGCAUGAAAUGGAGAGCGUCCUUUAUGAAAUGGAGAAUUUCAAGUUGGAACCCACAAGAAGGACAUUUGUGAUAUUAUAUAAAGCCUAUUUAAUGUGCGGUCAAAAGUACAAGGCUGAACAAGUAACAGGAUUGAUGUAUAAGCAUGGAUAUGGGAUUCCUUUGGGUGCAUCUCCAUCAUGACAUGCCUACUAACACAGUUGCAUUCCAUGCAUCACAAAUUACAGAAGGCAUUCAGUUGAUUAUGUGAAUGGUUCAUCAAAAUUUUCUAUGGAAUUGAGAUUUCCAAUAAUCCAUAGUUUAAGCUCUCAAACUAGCUUGAUGCCCUUAGUAUAAGCACCGGUUGCUGGUGUAGAAAUUUUGUUGUUCCUAGAAGUGAUUCACUCAAUAACGUGAUUCAUAAGCAACAGAAGAGAAGGAAAGGAAGAAAAGGAAGGUGGUAGGGGGAUUGGAGGGAGUAGUGUUUACAAGAAACAUUGAACACUGUAUGAUGGACUGCGACAAAGCUGAAUGCCAACAGAAAUUGAAUUAAAGAUUGAACAAGGCAUGCAGGAUGGUGUGUUUUUUGGGCGUAAAUUCCAGUUGGCCACCUGUGUUCUAAUUAAUUUGACCUACUUAUGUUGAAUGUUACAACAGCUGAGAAUAGGGUAAACUUUUGCCUUCAGUUCUGGGAGAUAUAAAUAUGGGUUAACUUGCAAGAGUGUUGUUAGUGUUUGCUUACCAUCUCAUGAAAAUUUUAGCUGUGGGUUAAAAGUGAUUCCUUGGGUUACAUAUGGAGGUCACGGAAUCGUAUUCAACAACUUAGUUUUUUCAAUUGCUGAAGUUAUUAUGUUCUAGGAUAGCAUCUGAUAACACUGGAACUGAUUCUUCUGGUACCAAUCUAGAUUCAACAAGUUUUAUUCAACAUAUGCCCACCAAAUUUUCAGUGAUGCUUGAGGGUUUUGUGAAGUGAUUUUGGUCUGGAGAGGGAGGUUAAGUUUGCAGAGGUGGACCAUAAAGAACUCUAUUUGUGUAAUAUUCUUGAGCUCAGAACCAAUACAACAAUUCCAUUGAAUGGACCACCUGAGGUGGUGGCCUGGUGGUAAAGGCCUUGUCAUCCACCUGCUAGAUCAGGAUAUGAUCCUCCUUGAGCGCAUCCUACAUGGCCCACUUGACAUGGGCUUCCUCAGACUGGGCUUUUGCUAUCAUGGAUUGUAAACCACAAUGUCAUGAUCGUGCGGGAAGGGGACAUGGUCUCCCACCAGUGCUUGGGGUUUAGGUGCCUAACGGGUGGGUGUCUUAGACGUCAACAUUUAACCGGUGGCUUGAGCCGGCGUAGACAAUGACUAACACACUUAGUAGGCUCUUUUUCUGUUGUCAAAAAAAAAAAAAAAAA